GAUGAACGCUGGCGGCGUGCCUAAUACAUGCAAGUCGAGCGAACGGACGAGAAGCUUGCUUCUCUGAUGUUAGCGGCGGACGGGUGAGUAACACGUGGAUAACCUACCUAUAAGACUGGGAUAACUUCGGGGAACCGGAGCUAAUACCGGAUGAUAUUUUGAACCGCAUGGUUCAAAAGUGAAAGACGGUCUUGCUGUCACUUAUAGAUGGAUCCGCGCUGCAUUAGCUAGUUGGUAAGGUAACGGCUUACCAAGGCAACGAUGCAUAGCCGACCUGAGAGGGUGAUCGGCCACACUGGAACUGAGACACGGUCCAGACUCCUACGGGAGGCAGCAGUAGGGAAUCUUCCGCAAUGGGCGAAAGCCUGACGGAGCAACGCCGCGUGAGUGAUGAAGGUCUUCGGAUCGUAAAACUCUGUUAUUAGGGAAGAACAUAUGUGUAAGUAACUGUGCACAUCUUGACGGUACCUAAUCAGAAAGCCACGGCUAACUACGUG
rnacentral:rRNA from 1 species